rnacentral:rRNA from 1 species
ACUCAAAUGAAUUGACGGGGACCCGCACAAGCGGUGGAGCAUGUGGUUCAAUUCGACGCAACGCGAAAAACCUUACCUGGGUUUGACAUGUCGGUGGUAGUGAACCGAAAGGGGAGCGACUCCGCAAGGGGAGCCGACACAGGUGCUGCAUGGCUGUCGUCAGCUCGUGUCGUGAGAUGUUGGGUUAAGUCCCGCAACGAGCGCAACCCUCGCCCCUAGUUGCCAGCGGGUCAUGCCGGGAACUCUAGGGGGACUGCCCCGGUUAACGGGGAGGAAGGUGGGGAUGACGUCAAGUCAUCAUGGCCUUUAUGCCCAGGGCCACACACGUGCUACAAUGGCCGGUACAAAGGGUUGCAAACCCGUGAGGGGGAGCCAAUCCCAAAAAGCCGGUCCCAGUUGGGAUCGCAGUCUGCAACUCGACUGCGUGAACGCGGAAUCGCUAGUAAUCGCGAAUCAGCAGGUCGCGGUGAAUACGUUCCCGGGUCCUGUACACACCGCCCGU